rnacentral:rRNA from 1 species
UACGAAGGGGGCGAGCGUUGUUCGGAUUUACUGGGCGUAAAGGGCGCGUAGGCGGCCCUCCUUGUCGCGUGUGAAAGCCCCGGGCUCAACCUGGGAAUUGCGCGCGAAACGGGGGGGCUUGAGUUCGGGAGAGGAGCGUGGAAUUCACAGUGUAGAGGUGAAAUUCGUAGAUAUUGGGAAGAACACCGGUGGCGAAGGCGGCGCGCUGGACCGAGACUGACGCUGAGGCGCGAAAGCGUGGGGAGCAAACAGG